rnacentral:rRNA from 1 species
GCUAGCUACAGGCUUAACACAUGCAAGUCGAGGGGCAUCAGGAAGAAAGCUUGCUUUCUUUGCUGGCGACCGGCGCACGGGUGAGUAACACGUAUCCAACCUGCCCUUUACUCGGGGAUAGCCUUUCGAAAGAAAGAUUAAUACCCGAUAGCAUAAUGAUUCCGCAUGGUUUCAUUAUUAAAGGAUUCCGGUAAAGGAUGGGGAUGCGUUCCAUUAGGUUGUUGGUGAGGUAACGGCCCACCAAGCCUUCGAUGGAUAGGGGUUCUGAGAGGAAGGUCCCCCACAUUGGAACUGAGACACGGUCCAAACUCCUACGGGAGGCAGCAGUGAGGAAUAUUGGUCAAUGGGCGCUAGCCUGAACCAGCCAAGUAGCGUGAAGGAUGAAGGCUCUAUGGGUCGUAAACUUCUUUUAUAUAAGAAUAAAGUGCAGUAUGUAUACUGUUUUGUAUGUAUUAUAUGAAUAAGGAUCGGCUAACUCCGUGCCAGCAGCCGCGGUAAUACGGAGGAUCCGAGCGUUAUCCGGAUUUAUUGGGUUUAAAGGGAGCGUAGGUGGACUGGUAAGUCAGUUGUGAAAGUUUGCGGCUCAACCGUAAAAUUGCAGUUGAUACUGUCAGUCUUGAGUACAGUAGAGGUGGGCGGAAUUCGUGGUGUAGCGGUGAAAUGCUUAGAUAUCACGAAGAACUCCGAUUGCGAAGGCAGCUCACUGGACUGCAACUGACACUGAUGCUCGAAAGUGUGGGUAUCAAACAGGAUUAGAUACCCUGGUAGUCCACACAGUAAACGAUGAAUACUCGCUGUUUGCGAUAUACAGUAAGCGGCCAAGCGAAAGCAUUAAGUAUUCCACCUGGGGAGUACGCCGGCAACGGUGAAACUCAAAGGAAUUGACGGGGGCCCGCACAAGCGGAGGAACAUGUGGUUUAAUUCGAUGAUACGCGAGGAACCUUACCCGGGCUUAAAUUGCAGUGGAAUGAUGUGGAAACAUGUCAGUGAGCAAUCACCGCUGUGAAGGUGCUGCAUGGUUGUCGUCAGCUCGUGCCGUGAGGUGUCGGCUUAAGUGCCAUAACGAGCGCAACCCUUAUCUUCAGUUACUAACAGGUCAUGCUGAGGACUCUGGAGAGACUGCCGUCGUAAGAUGUGAGGAAGGUGGGGAUGACGUCAAAUCAGCACGGCCCUUACGUCCGGGGCUACACACGUGUUACAAUGGGGGGUACAGAAGGCAGCUAGCGGGUGACCGUAUGCUAAUCCCAAAAGCCUCUCUCAGUUCGGAUCGAAGUCUGCAACCCGACUUCGUGAAGCUGGAUUCGCUAGUAAUCGCGCAUCAGCCACGGCGCGGUGAAUACGUUCCCGGGCCUUGUACACACCGCCCGUCAAGCCAUGGGAGCCGGGGGUACCUGAAGUACGUAACCGCAAGGAUCGUCCUAGGGUAAAACUGGUGACUGGGGC